rnacentral:rRNA from 1 species
GACGAACGCUGGCGGCGUGCUUAACACAUGCAAGUCGAACGGAAAGGCCCUGCUUUUGUGGGGUGCUCGAGAGGCGAACGGGUGAGUAACACGCGAGUAACCUGCCCUUGACUGUGGGAUAACUUCAGGAAACUGGGGCUAAUACCGGAUAGGAGCUCCUGCUGCAUGGGGGGGGUUGGAAAGUUUCGGCGGUAGGGGAUGGACUCGCGGCUUAUCAGCUUGUUGGUGGGGUAGUGGUUUACCAAGGCUUUGACGGGUAGCCGGCCUGAGAGGGUGAACGGCUACCUUGGGACUGCGAUACGGCCCAGACUCCUACGGGCGGCAGCAGUGGAGAGUAUUGCACAGUGGGCGGACGCCUGAUACGGCAGCGCCGCGUGCGGGAUACCGGCCUACUGGUUGUGAACAGCUUUCGAAUGUGACGAAGAGUUAGUGACGGUACUGAGUCAAGAAGCACCGGCUAACUACGUG